rnacentral:rRNA from 1 species
GAUGAACGCUGGCGGCGUGCCUAAUACAUGCAAGUCGAGCGAACAGACGAGGAGUUUGCUCCUCUGACGUUUGCGGCGGACGGGUGAGUCACACGUGGAUCCUCUCCCUUUACGACUGGGAUCACUUCGGGAAACCGGCGCUAAUCCCGGAUAAUUUAUUGAACCGUAUGGUUCAAUAGUAAAAGACGGUUUUGCCGUCACUUAUUGAACGAUCCGUGCCGCAUUUGCUAGUUGGUGAGGUAACGGCUUACCAAGGCAACGAUUCGUCGCCGACCGGAGGGGGGGAGCGGCAACACUGGAACUGGAACACGGUCCGGACUCCUAGGGAGGGCAGCAGUAGGGAAUCUUCGGCAAUGGGCGAAAGCCGAACGGAGCAACGCCGCGGGAGGGAGGAAGGUCUUCGGAUCGUAAAACUCUGUGAUUAGGGAAGAACAAAUGUGUAAUUAACUAUGCACGUCGUGACGGUACCUAAUCAGAAAGCCACGGCUAACUACGUG